AGUCUGACCUGCCCUAUGAUAAUUUUAUUAAAUGGCCGCGAUAAUUUGAUCGUGCAAAGGUAGCAUAAUCAUUAGUUUUUUAAUUGAGAACUGGAAUGAAAGGUCGAACGAGAAAAAAACUGUCUCAAUUUAAAUUUGAUUAGAAUUUUAUUUUUAAGUAAAAAAGCUUAAAUAAUUUUAAAAGACGAGAAGACCCUAUAGAGUUUUAUAUUUAAUAAUUUUUAAAAAAUUUUAGGUAUUUAAGGUUUUAAGUAUUAUUAAGUAUUUGGUUGGGGUGACUAAAAAAUUGAAAAAACUUUUUUUAUUUUUGAACCAUUGAUAUAUGAUUAAGUGAUCCAUAAUUUAUGAUUAAAAGAUUAAAUUACCUUAGGGAUAACAGCGUUAUUUUUUUUGAGAGUUCUUAUCGAAAAAAGAGUUUGCGACCUCGAUU
rnacentral:rRNA from 1 species